AAAUAAGAAAUAAAUAAUUAUAAUUAGUUUCGACCUAAUAUUUGAUGUAAAACAUCCUUAUUUA
rnacentral:tRNA from 1 species